CCUACGGGAGGCAGCAGUGGGGAAUAUUGGACAAUGGGGGCAACCCUGAUCCAGCCAUGCCGCGUGUGUGAAGAAGGCCCUCGGGUUGUAAAGCACUUUCAGUGAGGAAGAACGCCUGGUGGUUAAUACCCAUCAGGAAAGACAUCACUCACAGAAGAAGCACUGGCUAACUCCGUGCCAGCAGCCGCGGUAAUACGGAGGGUGCGAGCGUUAAUCGGAAUUACUGGGCGUAAAGCGCGCGUAGGUGGCUUGAUAAGCCGGUUGUGAAAGCCCCGGGCUCAACCUGGGAACGGCAUCCGGAACUGUCAAGCUAGAGUGCAGGAGAGGAAGGUAGAAUUCCCGGUGUAGCGGUGAAAUGCGUAGAGAUCGGGAGGAAUACCAGUGGCGAAGGCGGCCUUCUGGACUGACACUGACACUGAGGUGCGAAAGCGUGGGUAGCAAACAGGAUUAGAUACCCGUGUAGUC
rnacentral:rRNA from 1 species